GCGAGAUGUUAGGAAGAGGGGUCUCUGUGGUGGCUGAAAGAGCAUCAACUUUUCCUGUUGAUCUGGAGGGCAGUGUGCAGAUUUUUCUGUAAAUGCAGACUGCAAAGCACUGAAAAACUUAAAGCCUGGGCAGAAGGGGCCUUCCCUACAGGAACAUAGUGUAUAAUAGUGAGACUCAACCCACAUUUUCUCUCCAUCCCACCUCCCUCUGAGCUGCAGUCUGAAUUUAAAAUCAUGUUUUCUUUUACCAUUUCCUACUCAAGAUAUAGGCUGAUAGCUCAGCAGUUUUGUUUGUAAAUUUAAACUUUUGUGGGCUACUGUCUUGGGUAAAGAAAUGCUUAACUUGCAGUUUCAAAAAUCCUUGUCUAAGACACUUCACUUUUACUGCCCUAUGAGAAAGAGGGGUGGUCACUAAGAGAAAGGGUUUGUCUCAGCUCCUGAGUGAAGUACAUUGCCCAGGGGCUGUGGGUGGGUUUAACUGUCUAGGGGUACCAGAGGGAAUGCUUGCUUUCUCCUGCCCUCUUGUCUUGUGACACUGACACUUCCCUUUGUGUUUUUCAGAGGCUUUCUGGAGUCUGCUUUUUGUUUGCUCUAUCAGUUUGCCCAAACAAAAAAACAGCUAGUGCUGAAAAUAGCAGAACCAACAUGUAAGUGAUGGCAGAAGUUUGGGAAACUUAACAAAUGCAGCACUGGAAUUACAUACCUCCCAUGCACGAGAAGGAAAAAGACCUAGUUGUGUGGACAGAGCCCUAUGCAGACAGUGCUUUCUAAGCAUGUGUGGACAAAGGAAUUGUAUACAAACCUGCAAGAAUUCAUAUAUUGACAGAAUUGCUAAAAUCUGAAGUCUCUCAGGAAUGGAUAAAUUCCUGUUUCCAUUUUCUCUCUUGCUGAGACCAGUCUAGGAAAAAUCCCAGAAGAAGUCAUUGUUGGAGUUAGAUGCUAGCUUCACAGUCUGUGAGGGAAGCACUGCUGAAGAGAAGAAUCAAAAACAAGAAAAAAGAAAAACUGCUGCAGCAAAACUGUCUGCGUCUUACUCAGCUGGGACUUUCUGGAAGCUGCCAUAACACCACUACUGGCAAACCUGAAACAAGUGAAGUAGAUGUUUUGUUUUAUAGAAAAAUUUUGCUGACUCUCAUGCUUUCAGGGAUGGGCAUGAGGAGGGGCACACUGGAAGAAUUUGCAAGGUCUAUUAUAGGUAAUUGUUUCUGCGUUUCUGUGUAAUAUUUGUUAGCAUUAGGUAGAUGAUGAAAACCCUAUACUGCUCUUGCUGUGUACAGUGCUGCUCUCUAAACAUUUGCUGCAUUAUAAACAUUUGCAGAUGCCCAUGUACAAUUAUACUAUGGCAUUUUCUCUUGAGAUGUCCAACAGGUAAAAACAUUAAAGCAUCCACAGCUUAUAACCAUACUUGGAGAGUCCUAAUGUUGGUCCUUGCCUUGACUCAACUGAAAAGCUUCCAUUUUAUGUAACUCUUUUCUGCUUUCAGGUAAGUGCUAUAAACAGUGAGCUACUUCCUGGAAGGGAAAACAGAGAUAGCCAGCUCCCCUGGUUCUCUGCCUGGUUCUGCUUUCAUUUCUUUCUUUCCAGAGUCCUUCAAGCUACGUGUUGCAGGCUGUAGGAGUUGGCUUUCACACCCAUAGCUGGUAGCCAGCUGGCCAGUCUAUGGGCUGCCUCUAUAGUCAAUAGAUAGAGGUAGGUAUUUGCAGAGGGUAACUGCCUCUGUCUUAAGCUAUGCCACCUUAGGCUAGAAUGGACCACCAUAUGGAGGGAUCUCUCUUUAGCGACAGAAAGAGCCUAGGCAAUGAGUUCAGACUAGACAGCCAGCUUUUACAUUGAUAAAACUGGAUUAGAAAGUCCAAACAAACGUUUUGGAUACCUUGAAUGCAAUCUCUGGGGCUUUUGUUGACAAUAAAUUACUUUUUAUUUUGGAAAAAAAUAUCAAAGCAAAUAUUUUAGAUUUUUGUUCUUUGGGGCUGAGCUUGUUUUUUUAUCAGGUAAGCCCGAUGAUGCUGUCUACAUCCUCUGCUGAAGAAGAAGAGACCUGUGCUACGGAGGUAAAGAUCAGUUCUGCUGAUGAACCACAACAGAUGCAGGAACAGAUUUACUGAGUCACUACGAAAACUGCACCCUGCUUACGCCUCUGAACACAGUAUAUCUUCCACACCAUGUUACAGAAGUGAUGCUGCAAAGGCCAUCCUCCUCUUCCACUAUGUCCUCAUAGCCAUGCACACGUUCUGAAGAGACAUCAUGUUUUAGAAGAGGUGGGAAGAUGCAUAAAAGUAAAACAUGGUUGCUAUUGAUGGCAUGUGAAAGUUGCAUUGUUAGCCACUCAGGAGUCUCAGUACUGCCACACAGCUUUGUGGCAUUUCAUAAAGCCCAGGGGAAGACUUGACAACUGAGAUAUAAGUUAACCGUGAGAUCAACAUAUUUUUAAGAUAUUCUGAGUUGCAGAGAACAGGAAGAACUUUACUAGGAAACAUCUACACGAUUUGCCCUUUGUGUGAACCUUUUGGGUACACACAUCAAAAAGCCUUGGUCAGUCUGCAGGAGCCAUCAUCCCAGAAGAGGGACUCUUACUUCACAGGUGUGCAGGACCAGGAUUUAUUUAAUGUAUGCCAUCCAGGUACUUCUCAGAUUGCAAUUUCUUCUUUUUUUUUUUUUUUCCUUUCAUAAUCAUGUCUCUAGUUUGAUUAGCGUAAUACGUGAUUUCUUCACAGAUACUACGGUGUUGCUCUCACUGCAUUUAUGAGAUGAAUCUAUAUAGUUAUAACCACUAUGCAACAAGGAAGCUGAAGUGCCAAGAUUAUGAAUAACAUCAUCAAGCAUACGUUUGUUCUAGGAACCUGGUUUAUGAACUGUUUUCCUCCAAAGCAAUGCAUUAUGGUGGGGAACAAUUCCCAUGUGUUGUAGCUGCACCCUUGUACUUCUGGUUCUUGGUCUUCACCUUGGGCCCUGGAACAUGACGAACAAAACCUCAGAGGCCACCUAUGAAAAGCUAAGUUUACAUGAAAAGGGAAGGUGCUUAAUUUACUUGGUAGCAGUAGAUAUCAAGGGUAGAUUGGAUAAAUUCAGGUCUGUGUACCUAAAUCCCUUGGUGGAUUUUGUGCCGGCCUUAUGACAUGCUUGCAGAUUCCAGUAGUAUUUCUAGCACUAGACUAGGCAUCUCUGAAAUGCGAGUCUUCCAGGAUUUUCUUUCAUGGCUAUCUGCAGGGCUCCUCAAUGAAACUGACUCCUAAAGACACAACCAGCCCCAAAUACUUAUCAGUCUGCUCAGAGACUGGCCCUACACUCCUGUGCAGCUAUCUGGUAGAGUCUCCUUACCUUCUGUGAAUACCACCCAUGGAGAGGGAGUUCAGCAGUCUGAAGCCAACUGCUAGCCAUGUUACAGCAAUUUAAGGACAUACUGAAUCUGUCCCUAAUCAGCUCCCAAGAGCUUUUACUCACAGGACAGAGAUACCAUUUCCUUAGUAGCUUCUGUAGAUAAAAUAUCAGAAAAACACUGGACUUAGGUAAGUCAGCAAAAUGUCCUUUGAUACAGUCCACGGCAAACUAACCACACCGCAGAAUCUGUGAUACCACAGACUGCGCGGUUCUCUAUCCCCACCAGCUGGGGAUCACUGUGGUGUCUUUGGUACUACAGUGUGGUAAAUUUUAUUGUAUUCUCUGUCUCUCUUUUUGUAAUGUAGUACUAAUUGCUGUCUCAUAACAGGAAAGGAAUAGCUAGUUUACAUCUUGGUCCGCAAAUGAGAAAUCUUACACCUGCACUGUUAGCUGCAGACAAGCUCUUUGUGCCACUGUGCAAAACAAUGUCAUUGUUAGCAAGUACGAUGUGAAGCCAGGUCCCUCUCUAUUUGUCGUGCUCUCAGAUCACAUUGCAGUAAUUGUUUUAUGCAGGUAUAUUUAGUGCCUGCAAACCAGUUUGCUGUCCUUCUUGGAAGAGAUUAAAUGUUAAGAUGAAAGCAAGCCACAAAGAAGUGAUAAAAAUAACUUCAACUGAAAAGCCAGCUCAUCAAGAGAAUUCAAUGGAAAGUUGUUUUUUAUGCCUACGCUGUACUAAAAUAUGUCAGGAUAAAGUCUUAAGUAAAGCUUUAAGUGGAUCUCAGCUAAAAAGUUUCUUUUCAUUGCCUGAUGUGCAGUUGGAUUCACCCAGAAUCUCAAAACCAAACAAUCCCCAAAAUGUUUCUUUGGGGAAUUAACAUCUUACAAUGAUGCUCCAUUUUAUAAGACUUAAAGUCUCAACACAUUUUCAAUCCUACUAGCACUUGUCCUCAUAUAGUGGAGAAGUUUACUGUCUGCUACAGUUUUUCACACUGAUGAGGGACCAUUUCUUAUCUCCUUGUUCCUUUGUUAAAUGCAUUAAAUAUUCAAUACCCACAGAAUGCUCACCACUGACACUUCCAGCUACCAUCCAGUGCUCUCCCCUCACCCAGUUCACUGAAGAGACUGUCAGGUAGGUCUGGGCCCCACAAACCUCUGUUUAUUCACUGAAACAGGGAAGUCAGUCCUGAAAUGUGUCUUAACAUUGUCUGAGAAAAAAGCCUAGAAAAAUUAGUGCCUGAGGCACUGGACAUCAGCUGCAACCAGGAAAAGCUGUUGUCAGAGUGCUGUCACAAGUGAAAGCACAGUUUAUCACCUAGCUUGAGAAAGACUGUGAAGGAGGAGAAGAGGAUUCCUUACAAGAAGGGAAGACAUACUGACAAGCAUUGAAGCCCCACUGUGUGGGUAAGAGAGGACACCUGACUGUCUCCUCCAGCUCAAAAGAAGGAAAGGACCUAGUGGCAGAGAGAGAGAGAAGCCAAGAAGCUGGGCCUGGAAGUUAUUUAAGGGUCACCAGAGUUUGAGAAGGCCUCUGAGAUUUUCAUGUUCCCAACUGAAAGUUGAAGGCAGGCAAACUUAAGAAUUUGGUGGUGUUAUGAGUUCAUUUCAGCAGAAAAUUGUAAACCACAGAAAGUUUUGUAUCUCAUCUCUGGGUUAAUUUAUUAAUGCAUUUGGGGUUUGCAUUGAUAUAAUAACCACAGAACGUAUUUGGGUUAUAAUGUGUUUCUAAUUAAAAGAGCAACACCCAUACCAGAAAGAAGACUCAGGUGUCAGGUAGCCAAAAUUCUCAUCUAAGAACUACAAGAGGUUGCACUGUAUGGCCGCAAAUACACAAUUUCAUUGAUUUAAGCGGUCCAUCUCUUCUUUUUUAUAUGUUUAUCAUAAAUUAGAGGAGAAAGACGUAAGUAGGGUUAAUCUGCAUGUUUCUAAAACUGACAACCGACCCUGAAAAAUCUUAUACAAAUCCUCAAAAGUAUCAAGUCCAUCACUAAAUUCAGUGGUGGAUCUCAAAGUUGUGACAGAACCUGGCUUUUAACCGAUUAUCAUAUACAGACCUGUGAAAUCCCAGGCCUUCAGGGGGAGGUGCACUCACUCAGACUUGUUUUGGGUUUCCCCAGGGUGGUGCCAUAUCUCUUAAAUUUGCAAUGCUGCAACCAAGUCUGUCUACUGAGAUGACCGAUGCUGAUAGUUGGGCUGGUCUUUGGGGCAAGAGUAAUGUUCAUCCUUUUGUUAAGGGGGAAAAGGAAACACCUGAUACAUAAAUCCAAGAAUUUAAUGCUAGUGUAAUUGAACUCUUAGUGCUCUAAUCCAAACAUCUUUAUUAGUCCAGAUCUGAUUAUUACAGAAAUGGAAAGAAAAGAGAAACAAACCAUCGAACAAACAAACAAACAAACAAACAAACAAGAAUACUUCUGGGCAGAAACAUCUUAAUGAUGAUAGUAAUAAGAGUAGUAGUGUUGAAAUUGUUAUAUACACACUUUGCAGUUUCUACCCCUUUCACAAGUGUAGUGUUUACUAUUCCACUGCUCUUCUGAGCCCUAGGGUCAGUGGUGUCACCUUGUUGUUCCCUUGUAAAAGGAUCCCUCUACACCUUGUGUCCCCACUUCUCAAGGCCUCUGCUGUCAUACUAGGACUGUGUACAGCAUCAUGUUAGAGUCAUAAAUAUCUCUUUCUACAAAAAUAACUACUUGUUACUGCCAUCUAUAUAAUAACUGUGUUUGUGCUCCACAUUGGUAAGCAGAACUAAGACAAAUUAAAUAUAAUCACCUGCUCAGAAGAAGAACUGCUGUUGCAGCUAAACCAAG
rnacentral:lncRNA from 1 species